rfam:Streptomyces longwoodensis strain DSM 41677 genomic scaffold PRJNA299227_s017, whole genome shotgun sequence.
CUUCACCGACCCCAGCCACAACGGCUCACCCUCCCGCUCCCGGCCAUAAGUCGCCAGCAACGCCUGCGCCUC